rnacentral:rRNA from 1 species
AACGAACGCUGGCGGCAGGCCUAACACAUGCAAGUCGAACGUGAAGCCACCUUCGGGUGGUGGAAAGUGGCAGACGGGUGAGUAACGCGUGGGAACGUGCCUUUCGGUUCGGGAUAACCCAGGGAAACUUGGACUAAUACCGGAUACGCCCUUCGGGGGAAAGAUGCAUUGCCGAAAGAUCGGCCCGAGUAGGAUUAGCUAGUGGGUAGGGUAAUGGCCUACUAAGGCGACGAUCCGUAGCUGGUCUGAGAGGAUGACCAGCCACACUGGGACUGAGAAACGGCCCAGACUCCUACGGGAGGCAGCAGUGGGGAAUAUUGGACAAUGGGCGCAAGCCUGAUCCAGCCAUGCCGCGUGGGUGAAGAAGGCCUUAGGGUUGUAAACCCCUUUCAGCGGGGAAGAUAAUGACGGUACCCGCAGAAGAAGUCCCGGCUAACUCCGUGCCAGCCGCCGCCGUAAUAC